ACGUAGGAGGCAAGCGUUAUCCGGAGUUACUGGGCGUAAAGGGCGUGCAGGCGGUUGGCUAAGUUCGUUGUGAAAGCGCCCAGGCUUAACCGGGCGAGGACAAUGAGGACUGGUCAGCUAGAGGACGGCAGAGGCAGGUGGAAUUCCGGGUGGAGUGGUGAAAUGCGUAGAGAUCCGGAGGAACCCCAGUGGCGAAGGCGACCUGCUCGGCCUUGCCUGACGCUCAGACGCGAAAGCAUGGGGAGCGAACGG
rnacentral:rRNA from 1 species